UACGUAGGGGGCAAGCGUUGUCCGGAUUUAUUGGGCGUAAAGAGCGUGUAGGCGGCCAUGUAGGUCCGUCGUGAAAACUCGAGGCUCAACCUCGAGACGCCGAUGGAAACCAUGUGGCUAGAGUCCGGAAGAGGAGAGUGGAAUUCCUGGUGUAGCGGUGAAAUGCGCAGAUAUCAGGAGGAACACCAUGGCGAAGGCAGCACUCUGGGACGUGACUGACGCUGAGACGCGAAAGCGUGGGGAGCAAACAGG
rnacentral:rRNA from 1 species